CCUUCGCGGAGGCUGAAAAAUCCACCCCCCCCCAAUUUUUCUCAGUCUUCUUUCGAAUUGGAAACGGUACGGAUGAGAUGCGAGCUUCACUUUCUCAAUUAGGCAACAUAUUGCCCAUUCCGAAGCUCUUCAGGCAAUUGGAGCAAGAAAUGGAAACCGUAAUCAAGGUGUUACAACCUGGACCCCUGGGGAUUACGGAGCACAAAUUAUAGGCUGAAGAAAUUCGCGAGGCAAACGCUACUGUUCGUAGAGCCGUCGAAAAUUGGCGGAGGAAUGCAAUUGUAGAACAAAGAAACGGGGUUUUGAAAGAUUACAUUCACAGGUAAAAAAUCAUCAUGCGGCUGUGUUAUUUUCAGUGUGCGAUUGAUAGAAGGAACUUUGAAGAGAAUGUUAAAAGUAAAAAGUUCUGCUUGAUGUUUAUCUUGUUAUGUAGACUUUGCUCUCAGUUCUGAAUAAAGUUAACCAAUUUUCCUUU